rnacentral:rRNA from 1 species
AACGAACGCUGGCGGCAGGCUUAACACAUGCAAGUCGAACGGUUGUAGCAAUACAGCAGUGGCAGACGGGUGAGUAACACGUGGGAACCUUCCUAGGGGUACGGAACAACUCAGGGAAACUUGAGCUAAUACCGUAUACGUCCGUGAGGAGAAAGAUUUAUCGCCCUUGGACGGGCCCGCGUCGGAUUAGCUAGUUGGUGGGGUAACGGCCUACCAAGGCGACGAUCCGCAGCUGAUCUUAGAGGAUGAUCAGCCACACUGGGACUGAGACACGGCCCAGACUCCUACGGGAGGCAGCAGUGGGGAAUCUUGGACAAUGGGCGCAAGCCUGAUCCAGCCAUGCCGCGUGAGUGAAGAAGGUCUUCGGAUUGUAAAGCUCUUUUGCCAGGGACGAUAAUGACGGUACCUGGAGAAUAAGCCCCGGCAAACUUCGUGCCAGCAGCCGCGGUAA